rnacentral:rRNA from 1 species
UACGGGAGGGUCGCAAGCGUUAAUCGGAAUUACUGGGCGUAAAGGGUUCGUAGGUGGUAUGUUAAGUCAGAUGUGAAAGCCCAGGGCUCAACCUUGGAACUGCAUUUGAUACUGGCAAACUAGAGUAUGGUAGAGGAAUGGGGAAUUUCCGGUGUAGCGGUGAAAUGCGUAGAGAUCGGAAGGAACACCAAUGGCGAAGGCAACAUUCUGGACCAAUACUGACACUGAGGGACGAAAGCGUGGGGAUCAA